AUCAGCCACAUAUCUCGGACCACCCCACGAGUCUCUCUUAACCGUUCAAUUAACGUUCCGCUUGGUGUUGCCACACCUGUCCGCCAUCUGCUGUUGAGAUACUGUAACGGUUCUCGUCUGAAAAGAGGACUUCUCCCACUGCUGGUGCUGUGCUACCCACUGAAGACGGUCCAGGAAACAAAGAAGAAGACUGAAAGGAUACCACUGGGAGUGCUUCAGUGAGGACCUCAGUGACCGUUCUCCAUCACAGAAGGUGCUCAGCGGAGGGGACUACCUCACCCUUGAGAGGCAGAAACAAGCCAAUCAUGCACUACGAGAUGGACCUAUACCAAGUUCCAGAUUACAAGGACUUGUUCCAAAGAUGGAAGAGUUCCAUAACGAAGCUGAAUUUCUAAAGGUUAUAUGGAAACACUUGUACUCGUCCUCCUCUAACAAGUCUGUUUGGCACUCUGCAUGCUGCAAAGGAGCACAAUAAAUGCGGUGAAUGUUAGUCAGGAUCCUCAUGACAACUUUUACCCAUGCUCUGAAUUCAUGGACAAGGUCACCACCGCCUACAUCGUAACUGGGGGACUACAUUACUUCCAAAUGGAACACCUCACUUCUGUCCCAACGUCAAGUUACAUGGGUGCUGUUGGCAAUCCAUAUAAAAUGAUUGAUUAUUUUCUAGGUCAUGCAGCAAAACAGUUUGUAGACAAGCACGUCUUACCGGAGGUUCCUCAACAGCCAGGUCAUGGUCUCCAAAUCAAACACACUAGCCUGCAGGUACUGUGGAAAACUGUACCAGAGACCAAAAGCUCUCCGCAAACACGAAGCACGUUUGCAUGGAUAUUCUGAUCCGGAAUAUAAUGCUGAAAACAAUCAGGAUUCCACAUCUUCAGCAGAAUCAAGAUCAUCUAUUUAUCAGUACACCCGUCUGUCUCUCAUGCUUGGGCUUCUUCGAAUAAAUCACAACGAUUCCAUUCACAUGGGAGAUGGUGGCAGGCAUGAUGAGACUAGUAAAGUGGUUCUGUUUAUACUACAAGGCAAGCAAAUGUCCAAAGUAUGCAUAUGGUCUCCUUUGAAACACAGGCAAAGGCAUAUGCUCUCCUAUAUGAACGGCAGGCUUUAUAGACUGAUAUGGAACCGCACAGUCAACCAUCAAGGCAGAGAAGACACCAAUCAUCCCAUCGACCUUGACUUGGAGCAUUGCAACAGGGCUUUCAAAGAUAAUGUACACACAUACAAGGGGAGGUACACAGAUAAAAGACGAUUCUCAAAGUCAGCAGAAGUGCGCUGUCAAUGGAAGAAUUAUGCCAAAAAUACGACAAAUUGGCAUUCUGCAAGAAAAGUUCGGGAAGGCAUGGAGUUGUUGAUCCUUCUUGGUGAUAUUCUUAAACUUGUAGAACAAUUCCAUUCCUAUGCAGCUCUAUUCAAUGAGGCCAACAAGCCACUGCCACAGAGAAUUCAAGAACAUGCUGAGUGACAUCCAAAAUUGGAUUUCAGAAAGUCUUAAAGUCUUCAGUAGCCGCACAUACCAUAACAUCUGAACCUUUUUUCCCGAUGUGUAAUUCAGUGUCACAUGAUUAAAACGAGACCCUGUUGCAAAGUCGCUAUCACUGUAUGUUUCAUGAUCUUCAUGUUCUGAGUCUGAGUGAGAUGAUGAGCUAUCACUCGAGUCAAGGGAAGUUUUGUACAACUCAAGAAUAUCACAUCUACAUUCACUACAUGGGGUAUUGCAUGUCCAUGAGUCUCUGCAGUCACCGAGACACUUGCAAGAUAUGGCACAGUUGUCCAUAGCACUCAUGACUUCAGUAAGCUCAACUUGUCGACAUACGUUGGUUCUGACAUACUGUUUCAUUUCAUCCGAAAUAUUCCGCCUGCCACUGAGACAUUGUCUAAAUUUCAUGAGAAGAGCAUGUGCCUGCUUUUCUGGAUCCCUGCCUGCUCCGUCCUUGUCUCUUGAAUAUAAUCCUCAACAUUAUUGGCUGGACCAUAGUGGAUGACGGUUUCCACACUUUCUUAGCAUUGUGUAUACACAACGUAAUUAACGGAUUCUGACAUCAGCCACAUAUCUCGGACCACCCCACGAGUCUCUCUUAACCGUUCAAUUAACGUUCCGCUUGGUGUUGCCACACCUGUCCGCCAUCUGCUGUUGAGAUACUGUAACGGUUCUCGUCUGAAAAGAGGACUUCUCCCACUGCUGGUGCUGUGCUACCCACUGAAGACGGUCCAGGAAACAAAGAAGAAGACUGAAAGGAUACCACUGGGAGUGCUUCAGUGAGGACCUCAGUGACCGUUCUCCAUCACAGUAGGUGCUCAGCAGAGGGGACUACCUCACCCUUGAGAGGCAGAAACAAGCCAAUCAUGCACUUACGAGAUGGACCUACACCAAGUUCCAGAUUACAAGGACUUGUUCCAAAGAUGGAAGAGUUCCAUAACGAAGCUGAAUUUCUAAAGGUUAUAUGGAAACACUUGUACUCGUCCUCCUCUAACAAGUCUGUUUGGCACUCUGCAUGCUGCAAAGGAGCACAAUAAUGUGAAUGUUACUCAGGAUCCUCAUGACAACUUUUACCCAUGCUCUGAAUUCAUGGACAAGGUCACCACCGCCUACAUCGUAACUGGGGGACUACAUUACUUCCAAAUGGAACACCUCACUUCUGUCCCAACGUCAAGUUACAUGGGUGCUGUUGGCAAUCCAUAUAAAAUGAUUGAUUAUUUUCUAGGUCAUGCAGCAAAACAGUUUGUAGACAAGCACGUCUUACCGGAGGUUCCUCAACAGCCAGGUCAUGGUCUCCAAAUCAAACACACUAGCCUGCAGGUACUGUGGAAAACUGUACCAGAGACCAAAAGCUCUCCGCAAACACGAAGCACGUUUGCAUGGAUAUUCUGAUCCGGAAUAUAAUGCUGAAAACAAUCAGGAUUCCACAUCUUCAGCAGAAUCAAGAUCAUCUAUUUAUCAGUACACCCGUCUGUCUCUCAUGCUUGGGCUUCUUCGAAUAAAUCACAACGAUUCCAUUCACAUGGGAGAUGGUGGCAGGCAUGAUGAGACUAGUAAAGUGGUUCUGUUUAUACUACAAGGCAAGCAAAUGUCCAAAGUAUGCAUAUGGUCUCCUUUGAAACACAGGCAAAGGCAUAUGCUCUCCUAUAUGAACGGCAGGCUUUAUAGACUGAUAUGGAACCGCACAGUCAACCAUCAAGGCAGAGAAGACACCAAUCAUCCCAUCGACCUUGACUUGGAGCAUUGCAACAGGGCUUUCAAAGAUAAUGUACACACAUACAAGGGGAGGUACACAGAUAAAAGACGAUUCUCAAAGUCAGCAGAAGUGCGCUGUCAAUGGAAGAAUUAUGCCAAAAAUACGACAAAUUGGCAUUCUGCAAGAAAAGUUCGGGAAGGCAUGGAGUUGUUGAUCCUUCUUGGUGAUAUUCUUAAACUUGUAGAACAAUUCCAUUCCUAUGCAGCUCUAUUCAAUGAGGCCAACAAGCCACUGCCACAGAGAAUUCAAGAACAUGCUGAGUGACAUCCAAAAUUGGAUUUCAGAAAGUCUUAAAGUCUUCAGUAGCCGCACAUACUAUAACAUCUGAACCUUUUUUCCCGAUGUGUAAUUCAGUGUCACAUGAUUAAAACGAGACCCUGUUGCAAAGUCGCUAUCACUGUAUGUUUCAUGAUCUUCAUGUUCUGAGUCUGAGUGAGAUGAUGAGCUAUCACUCGAGUCAAGGGAAGUUUUGUACAACUCAAGAAUAUCACAUCUACAUUCACUACAUGGGGUAUUGCAUGUCCAUGAGUCUCUGCAGUCACCGAGACACUUGCAAGAUAUGGCACAGUUGUCCAUAGCACUCAUGACUUCAGUAAGCUCAACUUGUCGACAUACGUUGGUUCUGACAUACUGUUUCAUUUCAUCCGAAAUAUUCCGCCUGCCACUGAGACAUUGUCUAAAUUUCAUGAGAAGAGCAUGUGCCUGCUUUUCUGGAUCCCUGCCUGCUCCGUCCUUGUCUCUUGAAUAUAAUCCUCAACAUUAUUGGCUGGACCAUAGUGGAUGACGGUUUCCACACUUUGUAAGUCCCAAGCUGAAUGGUGUUGAGCAAUGGACUAUCAAGGGACUAUCAUCCUCUUGAAACCAUUUGGAUCCAUGAAGGACUCUGACACACUUCCCUGUUUUCCUUCUCAUUCAUACAUAUUCUGUAUGUUGUUAUGCAUGAUUGAUGUUGAACUUUAAUUGAAACUUUAGCUUGAAAAUUGGCCGAUUUCUUUUAUGAAAUUUAACUCCUUAUAAGAAUAAGAUCAACAUAUGCAAAAACAAUUGUUGUUAGAUGAUUAUUUUUUUGUAACUGAUCAACAAGAUCAACUUUAGUGUUUUAGUGUUUUAACUUAGCUAAUGUAAUGUAAUACAGUGGAUGUAUGCAUUCCUUUUUCAUAAGGGCAUGAACAUAUAUUACAUAAUGCCUCUACCUGGGACUGCGGCCAAACUUACAAAAUUAACCCUUGUUUGAGAGUAACAAGUAUCAAGUUCAUGAUGAUUGUAGAAGUGAUUGUAUGUAUUCAUAAAUGUGACACAUGCACAUUUUGAAAUGUUAAUAUUUGUGCUUUAACUUUGAUUUGAUGAAUAUCAAAUUAGAUAUUGUAUACACUUUAUAGCUACUUGUGAUCAGUGCACAUUUUUAUACCUUUAGAUUGUGCAGUUUCAUAGUGGUUAGUAAGAAUAUUUUGUGAAUUUAUACUUGUUUUAUCACAAAACAUGUGAAUGAGUGAAUGUCGUCUCAUACUGCAGUCAGCAAUAUUGCAGCCAUAUGAAGGCAGCCUGUAAACCAGUAAUUGAUACGCACACCAUCCUAGUACAUAAAACAUUCGCUCUCCAUGCCUAUUUAUGGUGUCCCCGUCGUGAUUUUGCUGGGAUAUUGCCAAAAGAUGCGUAAAUCCAUGCUCUCUCAAUUCAACAUGCCAUGCCUUGACAGACAAAACGAAAUACAAAAUAUAACAUUUAUACUUACAAUUUUGCAAUGCAGUGUGCUUCAUCAAUGAAAAUUGCCAUCAAAAUCUUCUCUUUAGUCAGGCUGUGUUCCAAGAACUGUCUCUGGACUUGCAAAUAUUAUUAUGUCAGUGUCAGGGUGAAAAAACCAUCACAGUAGCAUGGUUGGAGUUAUUAAGUUUCUUAAACACGAAUGGUGCUAAUUCAAAAGUAAGUGAUUUUCCUGAUCCUGUUGGAGAAAAAAAAGGACAUCCUUUCCUCUGAGGUAACUUACAAUCACUUGUCUUUGAUGAUUCCUGAAGUGAUCAAUUAUGUAACUGCAUUACCUUCCAUACCAACAGUUAUACAUGUAGUUAAGUUAAAUAGAGGGCGUAUAUACUUAAAACACAACAUCAAUCCUUUGUUCCGUU